UCAAACUUGGUCAUUUAGAGGAAGUAAAAGUCGUAACAAGGUUUCCGUAGGUGAACCUGCGGAAGGAUCAUUAUCGUGGGGGCUCUGCCCCUUCCGAGAUAGAACCCUUGAUUUUUGAGAACCCUCCGUUUCCUCGGCAGGUCCGCCUGCCAACGGGGACACUUUAAACUCUUUGUAAUAGCAGUACCUUCUGAUAUAAAACAAAAAGUCAAAACUUUCAACAACGGAUCUCUUGGUUCUGGCAUCGAUGAAGAACGCAGC
rnacentral:misc_RNA from 1 species